rnacentral:rRNA from 1 species
CAGACUCCUACGGGAGGCAGCAGUGGGGAAUAUUGCACAAUGGGCGCAAGCCUGAUGCAGCCAUGCCGCGUGUAUGACGAAGGCCUUCGGGUUGUAAAGUACUUUCAGCGGGGAGGAAGGGAGUAAAGUUAAUACCUUUGCUCAUUGACGUUACCCGCAGAAGAAGCACCGGCUAACUCCGUGCCAGCAGCCGCGGUAAUACGGAGGGUGCAAGCGUUAAUCGGAAUUACUGGGCGUA